CAUCCAGACUCCUACGGGAGGCAGCAGUGGGGGAUAUUGCACAAUGGGGGGAACCCUGAUGCAGCGACGCCGCGUGGGUGAAGGAGCGUUUCGGCGCGUAAAGCCCUAUCGGCAGGGAAGGAGGAGGACGGUACCUGACUAAGAAGCCCCGGCUAACUACGUGCCAGCAGCCGCGGUAAUACGUAGGGGGCAAGCGUUAUCCGGAUUUACUGGGUGUAAAGGGGGCGCAGACGGCAGCGCAAGCCAGGAGUGAAAGCCCGGGGCCCAACCCCGGGACUGCAUUUGGAACUGUGUAGCUGGAGUGUCGGAGAGGCAGGCGGAAUUCCUAGUGUAGCGGUGAAAUGCGUAGAUAUUAGGAGGAACACCAGUGGCGAAGGCGGCCUGCUGGACGAUGACUGACGUUGAGGCUCGAAAGCGUGGGGAGCAAACAGGAUUAGAUACCCCGGUA
rnacentral:rRNA from 1 species